UACGUAGGGGGCAAGCGUUGUCCGGAUUUAUUGGGCGUAAAGAGCGUGUAGGCGGCCUGUCAGGUCUGCUGUGAAAACUCGAGGCUCAACCUCGAGAUGUCGGCGGAAACCGUCUGGCUAGAGUCCGGAAGAGGAGAGUGGAAUUCCUGGUGUAGCGGUGAAAUGCGCAGAUAUCAGGAAGAACACCGAUGGCGAAGGCAGCUCUCUGGGACGGUACUGACGCUGAGACGCGAAAGCGUGGGGAGCGAACAGG
rnacentral:rRNA from 1 species